AAACAAAGGCCACAAAGAAGGGAUACCCUCUGAAGUUUCUGCCAUCCGGGGCAGGUCUCACCGGUGGCUCAGUGAGUAACGAGCAGUGGCGGGUGCGGACGGGGUGGUCUGGUUUGAGUGGGCGUUUAAGGCCUUACGACUGAGGGAACAGUUGCUUGGUGUAGGGUUUGGGGAGAGAUGACACUACAGGUUGGCAAAAGCCAGGUGGUGAAAAGACCUGCAGGCAAAUUGUGAAGGGUUGGUCA
rnacentral:lncRNA from 1 species